ACGGGUGAGGAACGCGUAGGAAUCUGCCUUGUAGAGGGGGACAACCGGAGGAAACUCCGGCUAAUACCGCGUAAUACUCUGAGGAGGAAAGGUUGGGUAGCAAUACCUGGCGCUACAAGAGGAGCCUGCGUCCGAUUAGCUAGUUGGUAGGGUAAGAGCCUACCAAGGCGAUGAUCGGUAGCUGGUCUGAGAGGAUGAUCAGCCACACUGGGACUGAGACACGGCCCAGACUCCUACGGGAGGCAGCAGUGGGGAAUAUUGGACAAUGGGGGCAACCCUGAUCCAGCAAUACCGCGUGUGUGAAGAAGGCCUUAGGGUUGUAAAGCACUUAGGCUGGGAAGAAGGCAUGUAGUUUAAGAGAUGACAUGUUUGACGGUACCAGCAGAAUAAGCACCGGCUAACUCUGUGCCAGCAGCCGCGGUAAUACAGAGGGUGCGAGCGUUAAUCGGAAUUACUGGGCGUAAAGGGCGCGUAGGCGGUUAUGUAAGUGAGAUGUGAAAGCCCUGGGCUUAACCUAGGAACUGCAUCUUAUACUGUAUGACUAGAGUAUUGUAGAGGGUAGUGGAAUUUCCCGGUG
rnacentral:rRNA from 1 species